GAUCAACGCUGGCGGCGUGCCUCAGACAUGCAAGUCGAACGAUUAAAGCUCUCUUCGGAGAGUGCAUAGAGUGGCGCACGGGUGAGUAACACGUAAGUAAUCUACCUUCGAGUGGGGAAUAACGUCCGGAACGGACGCUAAUACCGCAUAAUGCAGCGGCAUCGCAAGAUGACAGUUGUUAAAGAUUUAUCGCUUGAAGAGGAGCUUGCGGCAGAUUAGCUAGUUGGUAAGGUAAUGGCUUACCAAGGCUACGAUCUGUAACCGGUCUAAGAGGACGGUCGGUCACACUGACACUGAAUAACGGGUCA
rnacentral:rRNA from 1 species